GAGGUCGAGGACGUACGCUACUUAAAGAUUUAUAUGACUUAAAUCCUGUCAAGCAUGUCAAAGCAAGUAGAAACAGUCAUGGUCAGCCUGUUGGAUCUGAAGCUCGACUUUUAACAGGCUAUUUGGGCAUUAUAGCACGAAAUGCCAAUAUGUUGCCCAUCAACUACGAAUCAUGGCAUCACAUGCCUGAUAGCAACAAAAAUCAAGCUCUCGAUAAUAUUAAGGAGAGAUUUGCUUUAGAGGUCUCGGAUGACUAUAUCAAGAAGGCAUUGGGUAAAAAGUGGAGAGACCAUAAAAGCACUUUGAAAAAACAAUAUUUUAAGAAAGACAUAAGCCUCGAAGAAAAAUUGCGAAAUGUCCCGCCAGGAAUGCUGAGGUACCAAUAGGAAGAUGCGGUUAGAUUCUAAAAUUCAAAGAAAGGAGAGGACCGUGAACGAGUUGGAACAAACAGCAGGCAAAAACAAAAUUCACGCA